GUGCUCGCUUCGGCAGCACAUAUACUAAAAUUGGAACGCUACAGAGAAGAUUAGCAUGGCCCCUGCACAAGGAUGACACGCAAAUUCAUGACGCGUUCCACAUUUUU
rnacentral:snRNA from 1 species